rnacentral:rRNA from 1 species
AUUGAACGCUGGCGGCAGGCCUAACACAUGCAAGUCGAGCGGUAGCACAGAGAGCUUGCUCUCGGGUGACGAGCGGCGGACGGGUGAGUAAUGUCUGGGAAACUGCCUGAUGGAGGGGGAUAACUACUGGAAACGGUAGCUAAUACCGCAUAACGUCGCAAGACCAAAGUGGGGGACCUUCGGGCCCCAUGCCAUCAGAUGUGCCCAGAUGGGAUUAGCUAGUAGGUGGGGUAACGGCUCACCUAGGCGACGAUCCCUAGCUGGUCUGAGAGGAUGACCAGCCACACUGGAACUGAGACACGGUCCAGACUCCUACGGGAGGCAGCAGUGGGGAAUAUUGCACAAUGGGCGCAAGCCUGAUGCAGCCAUGCCGCGUGUGUGAAGAAGGCCUUCGGGUUGUAAAGCACUUUCAGCGGGGAGGAAGGCGUUAAGGUUAAUAACCUUGGAGAUUGACGUUACCCGCAGAAGAAGCACCGGCUAACUCCGUGCCAGCAGCCGCAGUAAUAC